ensembl:misc_RNA 7SK 7SK RNA
GGAUGUGAGGGCGAUCUGGCUGCGACAUCUGUCACCCCAUUGAUCGCCAGGGUUGAUUCGGCUGAUCUGGCUGGCUAGGCGGGUGUCCCCUUCCUCCCUCACCACUCCAUGUGUGUCCCUCCCGAAGCUGCAUGCUCCGUCGAAGAGGACGACCUUCCCCGAUAGAGGAGAGGACCGUUCUUCGGUCAAGGGUAAUCGAGUAGCUGGGCUCCCCUGCUAGAACCUCCAAACAAGCUCUCAAAAUAUUAAACACAGCAAAAUAAACAUUUCUAAUAAUAAAAUACAUGUAAAUUUAAAAAUCUGAGUUGACCUUU